UUGGACAUAUUUUUUGGUCGGUCGAGAGAUUUCUCUCGUUUCUUCGGUAUUGUCAACAUUGAUUUUUUUUUGUUCUCUCCCAACUGCGAAACGGCGAUUUUCUUCCCUUCUCCUCGUGCCGAUCUCAUCUCCGUUGUCUCCUCGUCGAAGCCCAGUGAUUGUUUGAUCGAUCGGCCGGUGCCUGAUUGCGUUUUGACUCCCGAAAUCUCCGAUCGUCAUCUUCGUCUCUACUUCUAGAAGUAGGAACCCUAAUCUCCUGAGAUAUUCUUACUGUUCAUUAGUAGCAGAGACGAAGAAUUAGAUUACGGUAUUGAAGAGCGAAGUAGAAAUCGAAAGACGAUGGCAGGGAGAGAAGUUCGAGAAUACACAAAUCUGUCUGACCCUAAAGAUAAGAAAUUAGGGAAGGGUAAGACUGAUGAUGAAGACGUCACAUUCCAACGGAUGGUUGCAAAGGGAUAACGGCCCCGCCGCAUUUUUCUGGUUGUUGCAUUCAGAUGCAAGAUGUUGCUGGUGUUGAAGAAAGAAGAAGAAGCAGAAAGAAGAAGCCAAGACAGUGUUGAAGAAACCGGACAGACCAGAGGAGCAACCUGGCACAAACAGAAAUGACGGUAAAGCAACCGAAAGCAAUGGGCAAGGUCAAAAUGCUUUGAAAGGCUUGUUGGGGUUAGCGUAUGAGAGUUCAGAUGAAGAAGACUGAGGACUGAUGAGCACUGAAUAGGGUUCUAUCUUCUUUUAGUCUUCUCAUGUUUUGUUUUUAUCGUCUCCAAGUUGUUGGUAUCGUCUCAAAUCUUACAAGAGUUUAGCUUUAGGAUUCAAUACAGCUUUUGCCAUCUAGCCCUGCACUUUUUGUAAUUGUGAAAACCAAACGGGUUUGUUGGAGUUUGAAGAAGAGAAUCUAAUGAGGAUAAUUUAUAA